GAUGAACGCUGGCGGCGUGCCUAAUACAUGCAAGUCGAGCGAAUGGAUUGAGAGCUCGCUCUUAUGAAGUUAGCGGCGGACGGGUGAGUAACACGUGGGUAACCUGCCCAUAAGACUGGGAUAACUCCGGGAAACCGGGGCUAAUACCGGAUAACAUUUUGAACCGCAUGGUUCGAAAUUGAAAGGCGGCUUCGGCUGUCACUUAUGGAUGGACCCGCGUCGCAUUAGCUAGUUGGUGAGGUAACGGCUCACCAAGGCAACGAUGCGUAGCCGACCUGAGAGGGUGAUCGGCCACACUGGGACUGAGACACGGCCCAGAAUCCUACUGGAGGCAGCAGUAGGGAAUCUUCCGCAAUGGACGAAAGUCUGACGGAGCAACGCCGCGUGAGAGAUGAAGGCUUUCGGGUCGUAAAACUCUGUUGUUAGGGAAGAACAAGUGCUAGUUGAAUAAGCUGACACCUUGACGGUACCUAACCAGAAAGCCACGGCUAACUACGUGCCAGCCGCCGCAGUAA
rnacentral:rRNA from 1 species